UACGUAGGGGGGCAAGCGUUUGUCCGGAAUCAUUGGGCGUAAAGAGCGUGUAGGCGGCUUGGUAAGUCCGCUGUGAAAGUCCAGGGCUCAACCCUGGAAUGCCGGUGGAAACUGUCAAGCUUGAGUCCGGAAGAGGCGAGUGGAAUUCCCGGUGUAGCGGUGAAAUGCGCAGAUAUCAGGAGGAACACCGGUGGCGAAAGGCGGGGUCUCUGGGCCGAUAUUGACGCUGAGGAGCGAAAGCGUGGGGAGCGAACAGGA
rnacentral:rRNA from 1 species